CCUACGGGUGGCAGCAGUGGGGAAUAUUGCACAAUGGGGGAAACCCUGAUGCAGCGACGCCGCGUGAGUGAAGAAGUAUUUCGGUAUGUAAAGCUCUAUCAGCAGGGAAGAAAUAGCGACCUUUGGGUCGCCAGAAGGUACCUGCUUACGAAGCCCCGGCUAACUCCGUGCCAGCAGCCGCGGUAAUACGUAGGGGGCAAGCGUUAUCCGGAUUUUCUGGGUUGAAAGGGAGCGUAGACGGCAGCGCAAGUCUGAAGGGAAAGACCGGGGCUUAAUCCCGGUACUGCAUUGGAAACUGUGCAGCUAGAGUGCAGGAGAGGAAAGUGGAAUUCCUAGUGUAGCGGUGAAAUGCGUAGAUAUUAGGAGGAACACCAGUGGCGAAGGCGGCUUACUGGACUGUAACGGACGUUGAGGCACGAAAGCGUGGGGAGCAAACAGGAUUAGAUACCCGAGUAGUC
rnacentral:rRNA from 1 species